CAAGAGGAUGAAACACAUAAUCCCGAUAUCCCUGCUGUUUCACACAACAGGGGUCUUACCCCUUUCGUUUUUGUUCCGUUUGAUGAAGUUGAAACGUCGGUGCUGAAUCUGCCUGUGGACAAGAUGGAUUAUCUCGUAACUGGUUGAUUCAAUGCAUAGAGAAACCUCAAAUAUAACUGUGUAAAUAGAAAUAAUAUAUAUUAUUCUGUUUUUUUUUUAAACAGUGCUUUGUUGUGGUUUGUAUUCUUUUGCCAGCAUCAUAUUUAAGAUUAGAGAAUGACAGUGUAAGAAACAAGCUGUUGUGUAUGUGCUAUUAAUUGAUAG